ACAUUUGUCAAGUUAUUUGAACAGACAUGCAUGAUUUUUGUGUAUAUAUUAUUAUUAUUAUUAUUCAGGAUGACAUGAUCAGGAGGUGGUGGUGUUCUGUUCUCCUGGACAGCUUUACUCCGCAAAUAGCUCAACCACUGAGGGGAGGAACUUCACCAUUCACCAUGUCUUCAGGCAGAGUCCAGCAAAGCAGCUUCCCCUGGAAAUCCUCAGUGAAGUUAUUUUGUCAGCGGGUGACUCUGCAUAUUUGACACUUUCUCUUGUUUGCAGAUGGUUUAGGGAUGUGCUCACUCAAGAAGUUU